AUAAAAUAGUGAAAAAAAGGAAAUUGUGUGAUUGGCUAGUCGGUGUUAUCAUGUGAUAUUACCGAGGGCGUCACAAUGAUUCCACCUCUUCAGAAGUUCCAGGUGAUACAUCAAAGAAUGUGCCAAGUCACUGAUGACAGUAGCUGGUUUCCUUUCAUUUGGAAAGUCGAUCAACACUCUGCCUAUAGAUAUUGCAUUGGAUGUGCAAUUCACUUGUCGAAUUUGGGCAGACUUAAAGCCACAAUCAAUCAAUUGAAUAAAGACUUGAAAUGAUAAAGUUUUUUUCCAAAUCCAUCUAUGUACAUGUAACUGAAUGUCAUCGAGUUUCUCUUUUGGGGAAAAUGGCCUUCAUUUCAUGAUUUGGACACUGCAGAUCUACCCAUGCCAACGAAAUUCUAGCAGGUA